rnacentral:rRNA from 1 species
UACGGAGGGGGCUAGCGUUGUUCGGAACUACUGGGCGUAAAGCGCACGUAGGCGGCUUUGCAAGUUAGAGGUGAAAGCCCGGGGCUCAACUCCGGAAUUGCCUUUAAAACUGCAUCGCUAGAAUUGUGGAGAGGUAAGUGGAAUUCCGAGUGUAGAGGUGAAAUUCGUAGAUAUUCGGAAGAACACCAGUGGCGAAGGCGACUUACUGGACACAUAUUGACGCUGAGGUGCGAAAGCGUGGGGAGCAAACAGG